rnacentral:rRNA from 1 species
GGGGUCAUCCCGACUUACCAACCCGAUGCAAACUGCGAAUACCGGAGAAUGUUAUCACGGGAGACACACGGCGGGUGCUAACGUCCGUCGUGAAGAGGGAAACAACCCAGACCGCCAGCUAAGGUCCCAAAGUCAUGGUUAAGUGGGAAACGAUGUGGGAAGGCCCAGACAGCCAGGAUGUUGGCUUAGAAGCAGCCAUCAUUUAAAGAAAGCGUAAUAGCUCACUGGUCGAGUCGGCCUGCGCGGAAGAUGUAACGGGGCUAAACCAUGCACCGAAGCUGCGGCAGCGACGCUUAUGCGUUGUUGGGUAGGGGAGCGUUCUGUAAGCCUGUGAAGGUGUGCUGUGAGGCAUGCUGGAGGUAUCAGAAGUGCGAAUGCUGACAUAAGUAACGAUAAAGCGGGUGAAAAGCCCGCUCGCCGGAAGACCAAGGGUUCCUGUCCAACGUUAAUCGGGGCAGGGUGAGUCGACCCCUAAGGCGAGGCCGAAAGGCGUAGUCGAUGGGAAACAGGUUAAUAUUCCUGUACUUGGUGUUACUGCGAAGGGGGGACGGAGAAGGCUAUGUUGGCCGGGCGACGGUUGUCCCGGUUUAAGCGUGUAGGCUGGUUUUCCAGGCAAAUCCGGAAAAUCAAGGCUGAGGCGUGAUGACGAGGCACUACGGUGCUGAAGCAACAAAUGCCCUGCUUCCAGGAAAAGCCUCUAAGCAUCAGGUAACAUCAAAUCGUACCCCAAACCGACACAGGUGGUCAGGUAGAGAAUACCAAGGCGCUUGAGAGAACUCGGGUGAAGGAACUAGGCAAAAUGGUGCCGUAACUUCGGGAGAAGGCACGCUGAUAUGUAGGUGAAGUCCCUUGCGGAUGGAGCUGAAAUCAGUCGAAGAUACCAGCUGGCUGCAACUGUUUAUUAAAAACACAGCACUGUGCAAACACGAAAGUGGACGUAUACGGUGUGACGCCUGCCCGGUGCCGGAAGGUUAAUUGAUGGGGUCAGCGCAAGCGAAGCUCUUGAUCGAAGCCCCGGUAAACGGCGGCCGUAACUAUAACGGUCCUAAGGUAGCGAAAUUCCUUGUCGGGUAAGUUCCGACCUGCACGAAUGGCGUAAUGAUGGCCAGGCUGUCUCCACCCGAGACUCAGUGAAAUUGAACUCGCUGUGAAGAUGCAGUGUACCCGCGGCAAGACGGAAAGACCCCGUGAACCUUUACUAUAGCUUGACACUGAACAUUGAGCCUUGAUGUGUAGGAUAGGUGGGAGGCUUUGAAGUGUGGACGCCAGUCUGCAUGGAGCCGACCUUGAAAUACCACCCUUUAAUGUUUGAUGUUCUAACGUGGACCCGUGAUCCGGGUUGCGGACAGUGUCUGGUGGGUAGUUUGACUGGGGCGGUCUCCUCCUAAAGAGUAACGGAGGAGCACGAAGGUUGGCUAAUCCUGGUCGGACAUCAGGAGGUUAGUGCAAUGGCAUAAGCCAGCUUGACUGCGAGCGUGACGGCGCGAGCAGGUGCGAAAGCAGGUCAUAGUGAUCCGGUGGUUCUGAAUGGAAGGGCCAUCGCUCAACGGAUAAAAGGUACUCCGGGGAUAACAGGCUGAUACCGCCCAAGAGUUCAUAUCGACGGCGGUGUUUGGCACCUCGAUGUCGGCUCAUCACAUCCUGGGGCUGAAGUAGGUCCCAAGGGUAUGGCUGUUCGCCAUUUAAAGUGGUACGCGAGCUGGGUUUAGAACGUCGUGAGACAGUUCGGUCCCUAUCUGCCGUGGGCGCUGGAGAACUGAGGGGGGCUGCUCCUAGUACGAGAGGACCGGAGUGGACGCAUCACUGGUGUUCGGGUUGUCAUGCCAAUGGCACUGCCCGGUAGCUAAAUGCGGAAGAGAUAAGUGCUGAAAGCAUCUAAGCACGAAACUUGCCCCGAGAUGAGUUCUCCCUGACCCUUUAAGGGUCCUGAAGGAACGUUGAAGACGACGACGUUGAUAGGCCGGGUGUGUAAGCGCAGCGAUGCGUUGAGCUAACCGGUACUAAUGAACCGUGAGGCUUAACCUUACAACGCCGAAGCUGUU